rnacentral:rRNA from 1 species
AAUCAAGCGCAAUAAGGGCGUUUGGUGGAUGCCUUGGCAGCAAGAGGCGAUGAAGGACGUGAUACUCUGCGAUAAGCGUAGGUGAGGUGAGAAUAACCUUUGACCCUGCGAUCUCCGAAUGGGGCAACCCACUUGAUAUUCUGUUGUUGUUACUUCGUAACAAGCACGCUCCGCGACCGAGUAAGUUUGAUUGUCUUUGACAAUCGGACCCUUGGUCCGUGGCCAUCUUCGAUGGCCGGGCGCGUAGCUUGGGCGGAUUGACCAUCAACGGGGUAAAUCAAGUACUUUUAGGCUGAAUACAUAGGCUUAAAAGAGCAAACCCGGGGAACUGAAACAUCUAAGUACCCGGAGGAAAGGAAAUCAAUAGAGACUCCGUUAGUAGUGGCGAGCGAACGCGGACCAGCCGAGCUUUGAAUGUGGGCAGAACUGUCUGGAAAGGCAGGCCAUAGCGGGUGACAGCCCCGUAUGCGAAGCAUGACAAGACGUAUCAAGUAGGGCGGGACACGUGAAAUCCUGUCUGAAGAUCGG